rnacentral:lncRNA from 1 species
AUGGGGGAGAGACAACACAACAGGAGGAGAGGUCGUUCCAGACCCUGUCUACUCAGCAGUGAAGACAGAGAGAGAUACAGGUCAAAAGGUCGUUCCAGACCCUGUCUACUCAGCAUGAAGCCAGGACCGGACAGACACGAGAUACAGGUCAGAAGGUCGUUACAGACCCUGUCUAUCUCACGUGUGAAGGACAGACAGCAGGCACAGACAGACAGAGCAGGACAGACAGACAGACAGACCGACAGACAGACACGACCGACAGACAGACAGACAGACAGACAGACAGACAGACAGAAGACAGACAGACAGACGGACAGACAGACAGACACAGACAGACAGACAGACAGACAGACAGACAGCUACUUAGAUUGGCUUUACAGCACGUUUGACAGAUCUAUAACAUAAUUCUAUGUGGAUUAGUGGGUUACUCAAAAGGGUUAGAUAUUGCCAUUUUAACAGAUGUAAUCUGUGUGAUACUUUAGUUAGCUGUAUCGGAUCCGGGACUGGUACAGACUCGUAUCAGAUCACUGUAUAUACCCUAUGUACAGACGGAUGUCCCGAUCACUGUAUCACUAACCCUAAUGUACAACUGAGGUUAGGUCCAGAUCACUGCAUCACUAACCCUAAUGUACAGACUGAGGUAGGUCAUCAAGAUCAUGUAUCACUAACCCUAAUGUACAGACUGAGGUAGGUCCAGAUCACUGUAUCACUAACCCUAAUGUACAGACUGAGGUAGGUCCAGAUCACUGUAUCACUAACCCUAAUGUACAGAUGAGUGUCCACACUGAUCACUACCCCUUAAUGCUAGACUAGGUA